rnacentral:rRNA from 1 species
GACGAACGCUGGCGGCGUGCUUAACACAUGCGAGUCGAACGGAAAGGCCCUGCUUUUGUGGGGUGCUCGAGUGGCGAACGGGUGAGUAACACGUGAGUAACCUGCCCUUGACUUUGGGAUAACUUCAGGAAACUGGGGCUAAUACCGGAUAGGAGCUCCUGCUGCAUGGUGGGGGUUGGAAAGUUUCGGCGGUUGGGGAUGGACUCGCGGCUUAUCAGCUUGUUGGUGGGGUAGUGGCUUACCAAGGCUUUGACGGGUAGCCGGCCUGAGAGGGUGACCGGCCACAUUGGGACUGGGAUACGGCCCAGACUCCUACGGGCGGCAGCAGUGGGGAAUAUUGCACAAUGGGCGGAAGCCUGAUGCAGCAACGCCGCGUGCGGGAUGACGGCCUUCGGGUUGUAAACCGCUUUCGCCUGUGACGAAGCGUGAGUGACGGUAAUGGGUAAAGAAGCACCGGCUAACUACGU